GGAGGCAGCAGUGGGGAAUAUUGCACAAUGGGCGCAAGCCUGAUGCAGCCAUGCCGCGUGGAUGAAGAAGGCCUUCGGGUUGUAAAGUACUUUCAGCGGGGAGGAAGGUGUUGUGGUUAAUAACCGCAGCAAUUGACGUUACCCGCAGAAGAAGCACCGGCUAACUCCGUGCCAGCAGCCGCGGUAAUACGGAGGGUGCAAGCGUUAAUCGGAAUUACUGGGCGUAAAGCGCACGCAGGCGGUCUGUCAAGUCGGAUGUGAAAUCCCCGGGCUCAACCUGGGAACUGCAUUUGAAACUGGCAGGCUUGAGUCUCGUAG
rnacentral:rRNA from 1 species